rnacentral:ncRNA from 1 species
UCGACGAAACAGGGGUGCUUUGCGCCGGCGGCAUGAUUCUCAUGCUGCGGUAGCGAGGCUGAGAGAGACCCUUUGCACCCGAUCCGGGUAAUACCGGCGCGGGAAGUUUCCGGAAGCAACCA